GGCGGCAGGCCUAACACAUGCAAGUCGAGCGGUAACAGGGGUGCUUGCACUCGCUGACGAGCGGCGGACGGGUGAGUAAUGCCUAAGAAUCUGCCUAGUGGUGGGGGAUAGCCCGGGGAAACUCGGAUUAAUACCGCAUACGCCCUACGGGGGAAAGCGGGGGAUCUUCGGACCUCGCGCCAUUAGAUGAGCUUAGGUCAGAUUAGCUAGUUGGUGAGGUAAUGGCUCACCAAGGCGACGAUCUGUAGCUGGUCUGAGAGGAUGAUCAGCCACACUGGGACUGAGACACGGCCCAGACUCCUACGGAAGGCAGCAGUGGGGAAUAUUGGACAAUGGGCGAAAGCCUGAUCCAGCCAUGCCGCGUGUGUGAAGAAGGCCCUAGGGUUGUAAAGCACUUUAAGCUGGGAAGAUGGUGCGUGUGAUUAAUACUCACAUGUAUAGACGGUACCAGCAGAAUAAGCACCGGCUAACUCCGUGCCAGCAGCCGCGGUAAUACGGAGGGUGCGAGCGUUAAUCGGAUUUACUGGGCGUAAAGCGUGCGUAGGCGGCAUGUUAAGUCGGAUGUGAAAUCCCAGGGCUUAACCUUGGAACUGCAUCCGAAACUGGCAAGCUAGAGAUCGGUAGAGGUUGGUGGAAUUCCCGGUGUAGCGGUGAAAUGCGUAGAUAUCGGGAGGAACAUCGAUGGCGAAGGCAGCCAACUGGGCCUGAUCUGACGCUGAGGUACGAAAGCGUGGGGAGCAAACAGGAUUAGAUACCCUGGUAGUCCACGCCGUAAACGAUG
rnacentral:rRNA from 1 species